CUACGGGUCGCUCCAGUGGGGAAUAUUGCACAAUGGGCGCAAGCCUGAUGCAGCCAUGCCGCGUGUAUGAAGAAGGCCUUCGGGUUGUAAAGUACUUUCAGCGGGGAGGAAGGGAGUAAAGUUAAUACCUUUGCUCAUUGACGUUACCCGCAGAAGAAGCACCGGCUAACUCCGUGCCAGCAGCCGCGGUAAUACGGAGGGUGCAAGCGUUAAUCGGAAUUACUGGGCGUAAAGCGCACGCAGGCGGUUUGUUAAGUCAGAUGUGAAAUCCCCGGGCUCAACCUGGGAACUGCAUCUGAUACUGGCAAGCUUGAGUCUCGUAGAGGGGGGUAGAAUUCCAGGUGUAGCGGUGAAAUGCGUAGAGAUCUGGAGGAAUACCGGUGGCGAAGGCGGCCCCCUGGACGAAGACUGACGCCCAGGUGCGAAAGCGUGGGGAGCAAACAGGAUUAGAUACCCGGGUAGUC
rnacentral:rRNA from 1 species